rnacentral:lncRNA from 1 species
ACAGCUCUUAUCCAAACCGGAACACGACAACUCUAUCCGCAUGGCUGGUUAGAUGUUGCAUUUGGACGAUAGUUCAAAAAUUAGCGUGUAAUAUAUCGAGCAUUUUUUUCUUCUGAUUUUUAGUAAUAAAAGAGCUAAUGUUUCUAUGGACCAAUCUAAUUUUUUUUCUCGCUUCUCCUUUUUCCUUCUGUAGUCUGUGCCACGCAGCAGCACUGACGAAGGUCGUAAACCUGGAGGAGUGAAGCACAGAACGGAGUGAACCGACGCGCGCGCACCACCGUUUACAGUUAGCCAACGAAUCUCUGCCAAUCGCCAUGCUCGCCUACCUCCUCCACGCGCCCGCCGCCGCCGCCGCGGCGCCCAGCCCNNN